ensembl:lncRNA
AGAAAAACAAAACCCGGCGCGUCGCCUGGGCAAUGGGUAAACCUCAGGAACUCUUAGGCUGAGGUGCUUGAAAUCUCUUAGGUUGAGGUGCUUGAAAGCGCUUACGCGUCGAAAAGGAACUAUCUGCCAACCUAGUGAAGUGUCGACGGAAUCUUGAAGUGAUGAGGUAGUUAAAGCGCAGAAGACGAAUCCAAGUUUCAUAAUUCCCAGGCUGAAUCUCUAACAGUACAUCAUGAGAAACUCUGGGCUGAAAGAAGCACAAGCUGGAAUCAGGAUUGCCGGGAGAAAUAUCAAUAACCUCAGAUAUGCAGAUGACACCACCCUUAUGGC